UGAAGUGACAAACUGAACCUGGGCUUUUC
rnacentral:piRNA from 1 species